rnacentral:rRNA from 1 species
UACGAGUGCCCCGAGCGUUAUCCGGAAUCAUUGGGCGUAAAGGGUGUGUAGGUGGCAGUGUUAGUCGGUUGUUAAAACCUGGGGCUCAACCCCAGACUCGCGAUCGAAACGGCACAGCUAGAGGAUGGCAGAGAUGUAUGGAACUCAUGGAGUAGGGGUGAAAUCCGUUGAUAUCAUGGGGAACACCAAAAGCGAAGGCAGUACAUUGGGCCACUCCUGACACUGAAACACGAAAGCGUGGGUAGCGAAUGGG